rnacentral:rRNA from 1 species
AUUGAACGCUGGCGGCAUGCCUAACACAUGCAAGUCGAACGAGUGGCGGACGGGUGCGUAAUGUCUGGGAAACUGCCUGAUGGAGGGGGAUAACUACUGGAAACGGUAGCUAAAACUGCAUACCAUCAUUUGCGCCCAGUCGGGAUUAGCUAGUUGGUGGGGUAACGGCGUACCAAGGCGACGAUCCGUAGCUGGUCUGAGAGGAUGACCAGCCACACUGGAACUGAGACACGGUCCAGACUCCUACGGGAGGCAGCAGUGGGGAAGAUUGCACAAUGGGGGCAAGCCUGAUGCAGCCAUGCCGCGUGUAUGAAGAAGGCCUUCGGGUUGUAAAGUACUUUCAGCGGGGAGGCGUUACCUGCAGAAGAAGCACCGGCUAACUCCGUGCCAGCAGCCGCGGUAAUAC